rnacentral:ribozyme from 1 species
GUCUCCUCACCUAGUACUACUUCUUUAUUCUGGUCAUUUUCUCCCUUUUGGGGGUAGAAUUUCAAAGGAGGGGGGAAAAUGGUUAUUACCCAUAUAUUGCC